rnacentral:rRNA from 1 species
UGUAUAGCNAUAGCUGAUUGCACCAACAAAUGGUUGAUGCAAUAUUGACUCUGUCAAAUAAAWUUCUAGGUAGAAUUAUGAUAAUGACGUUGUCUGCCUAUAUGUCUUGACCAAAUUACGUGCCAGCAGUCGCGGUAAUACGUAGAAGACUAGUGUUAUUCAUCUUUAAUAGGUUUAAAGGGUACCUAGACGGUAAAUCAAGCCUUCACAGGGACUAAUUUACUAGAGUUACUUACGAGGGGGUAUUAAAGUACUGCAGGUGUAGAGAUGAAAUUCUGUCAUACCUCUUUUCAAAAGAAAAAUUAUGGCACAGGUAUAGGUGAAAGCAUCCCCUUAUGUGAUAACUGACGUUGAAGGACGAAGGCUUUGUGUCGCGAACAGGAUUAGAUACCCCAGUAGUCAAAGCAGAAAAUGAUGAAUGUCAUAGAUUAGAUAUAUAGUUUAUUCUAUAAAUGAAAAUGUAAGCAUUCCACCUCAAGAGUAAUUUGGCAACAUUGGAACUGAAAUCAUUAGACCGUUUCUGAAACCAGUAGUGAAGUAUGUUGUUUAAUUUGAUGAUCCGCAAAAAACCUUACCACAAUUUGAAUAUUUGUAUCUAUCUUUUUUUUUYGUAAAAAAAUAAAAAGGUAAUAUAUUUACAAGCGUUGCACGGCUGUCUUCAGUUAAUGUCGCGAGACUUUGGUUAGUUCCAUUUAAUUAACGUAAACCCUUACUUUAUUUUUAUAUAAAGUAGUUCCCCGCUAUAUUGGAUAUGAUAACAGGGACUA